GGGCGGCUAGCUCAGUUGGUUAGAGCGUCUCGUUUACACCGAGAAGGCCUCAGGUUCGAAUCCUGAGCCGCCCA
rnacentral:tRNA from 7 species